rnacentral:misc_RNA from 1 species
AAAGCAAAAUCCAAUACAGAAAAAAUAUAUAAUGUGCUCAAACAAUAAUAAUAGUAAUUUGCGAUGCAGCUCCAAAAGGCUAAUCCCUAGCAUGCUCAACUCACAUGCUCACUAAUUAGUUAAGAGUUACACAGGACCAAAAGAAACAAUAAUUCACAAAGAAAACAUUCAACGCUAGGGUUUUACAAGAUUCAAUUUGAAGGGAAUCAAAUUCAUUAUUAAAAAAAAAAAAAGAAGGAAGUGA